CCUACGGGAGGCAGCAGUGAGGAAUAUUGGUCAAUGGACGAGAGUCUGAACCAGCCAAGUAGCGUGAAGGAUGACGGCCCUAUGGGUUGUAAACUUCUUUUAUAUGGGAAUAAAGUGCAGUAUGUAUACUGCUUUGCAUGUACCUUAUGAAUAAGGAUCGGCUAACUCCGUGCCAGCAGCCGCGGUAAUACGUAGGGGGCAAGCGUUAUCCGGAUUUAUUGGGUUUAAAGGGAGCGUAGGCGGGUUGUUAAGUCAGCUGUGAAAGUUUGCGGCUCAACCGUAAAAUUGCAGUUGAUACUGGGAGCCUUGAGUACAGUAGAGGUAGGCGGAAUUCGUGGUGUAGCGGUGAAAUGCUUAGAUAUCACGAAGAACUCCGAUUGCGAAGGCAGCCUGCUGGACUGUAACUGACGCUGAUGCUCGAAAGUGUGGGUAUCAAACAGGAUUAGAUACCCCUGUAGUC
rnacentral:rRNA from 1 species